rnacentral:lncRNA from 1 species
CAUUCCCCAAAUCCCAACCAGCCAUAUUUCCGAGAAGGGUUUUCCUUCCGACUCAUGAAAUUCGGCAAUGCACGUGUAUGUGAUCCAUUCUCAGCUGCUUUUGCCAACCUCUAAACCUUCAAUUUGCAUGUAAACAAAUAGAGAAUAUACCCUGCUUCAACUUGGAAUUUUAUAACAACGAUCUUUGACGGAUCCAGUUGUAUGUCCAUGUCGCCAUGACCAGAAUCCGCGGGAAUACAGGAGAAAUGGGAAUGACCAAAUUAUGAUGCCACCCCAUGGUUACACAAAGCUAUGCAUCCCAACUGGGUCGGU